rnacentral:rRNA from 1 species
UAAAGAAUUUCGGUUAUCGAUGGGGAUGCGUUCCAUUAGUUAGUUGGCGGGGUAACGGCCCACCAAGACGACGAUGGAUAGGGGUUCUGAGAGGAAGGUCCCCCACAUUGGAACUGAGACACGGUCCAAACUCCUACGGGAGGCAGCAGUGAGGAAUAUUGGUCAAUGGACGAGAGUCUGAACCAGCCAAGUAGCGUGAAGGAUGACUGCCCUAUGGGUUGUAAACUUCUUUUAUAUGGGAAUAAAACAGGGUAUGCAUACCCUCUUGUAUGUACCAUAUGAAUAAGGAUCGGCUAACUCCGUGCCAGCAGCCGCGGUAAUACGGAGGAUCCGAGCGUUACCCGGAUUUAUUGGGUUUAAAGGGAGCGUAGGUGGAUUGUUAAGUCAGUUGUGAAAGUUUGCGGCUCAACCGUAAAAUUGCAGUUGAAACUGGCAGUCUUGAGUACAGUAGAGGUGGGCGGAAUUCGUGGUGUAGCGGUGAAAUGCUUAGAUAUCACGAAGAACUCCGAUUGCGAAGGCAGCUCACUGGACUGCAACUGACACUGAUGCUCGAAAGUGUGGGUAUCAAACAGGAUUAGAUACCCUGGUAGUCCACACAGUAA